rnacentral:rRNA from 1 species
GAGUAACGCGUAGGUAAUCUACCCUUAUAUUUGGGAUAACAUUGGGAAACUGGUGCUAAUACCGAAUGGUCUUAUUUUAAUGCGAGUUAAAUUGAGUAAAGGUGGCCUCUGUAUAUGCUACCGUAUAGGGAUGAGCCUGCGUACCAUUAGCUAGUAGGUGGGGUAACGGCCCACCUAGGCAACGAUGGUUAGCGGGUCUGAGAGGAUGAUCCGCCACACUGGAACUGGAACACGGACCAG